UUAUUAUUUACCUCAAAAAAUUGUGGGGAUCACGUAGAAUCAAGCCCACUGAAUGGCCACUUAUAGCAGCACUGUGCUCCUUCUCCGUGGAAGAAAUAUCUGGGCUCCAUUGGGAACUGUGUCUUCCUGCUAUUACUACUGCUUUUUAGAGGUCCCAGUAGAAAUGUGAAAAAGGAAUAAAAGUCUCAUGAUCUUACAACUAUGAAGAUAACUGGAGAAAAGCUAUAAGAGUAUGAGAGGUUUCAGUAAGU